GAGUUUGACCCUUGCUCAGGAUGAACGCUGGCGGCGUGCCUAAUACAUGCCCUUCGAACGAAGGUCUAGCUUGCUAGACCUUAGUGGCGAACGGGUGAGUAAUACAUAAAUAAUCUGCCCAUAUUUCUGGGAUAACUAUUGGAAACUUUAGCUAAUACCGGAUAGGUUGAUUGGAGGCAUCUCUGAUCAAUUAAAGUAGGAUUUCUACACAAAUGGAUGAGUUUAUGGCGCAUUAGUUAGUUGGUGGGGUAACGGCCUACCAAGACGAUGAUGCGUAGCCGACCUGAGAGGGUGACCGGCCACACUGGGACUGAGACACGGCCCAGACUCCUACGGGAGGCAGCAGUAGGGAAUUUUCGGCAAUGGGCGCAAGCCUGACCGAGCAACGCCGCGUGAGUGAUUAAGGCCUUCGGGUUGUAAAGCUCUGUUGUAAGGGAAGAACAUUCAGGAUAGGAAAUGAUCUUGAACUGACGGUACCUUACCAGAAAGCCACGGCUAACUACGUGCCAGCAGCCGCGGUAAUACGUAGGGUGCAAGCGUUACUCGGGAUCACUGGGCGUAAAGCGCAUGUAGGCGGUCUUGUAAGUUGGGUGUGAAAGCCUAUGGCUCAACCAUAGAACUGCACCCAAAACUACUAGACUAGAGUCUGGGAGAGGAAAAUGGAAUUAGUUGUGUAGGGGUAAAAUCCGUAGAGAUAACUAGGAAUACCAAAAGCGAAGGCAAUUUUCUGGAACAGUACUGACGCUCAGAUGCGAAAGCGUGGGUAGCAAACAGGAUUAGAUACCCUGGUAGUCCACGCCCUAAACGAUGAAUGUUAGUCGUCGGGAGGCUCGUCCUUUCGGUGAUGCAGCUAACGCAUUAAACAUUCCCGCCCUGGGGAGUACGGUCGCAAGAUUAAAACUCAAAGGAAUAGACGGGGACCCGCACAAGUGGUGGAGCAUGUGGUUUAAUUCGAAGAUACGCGAAGAACCUUACCUAGCCUUGACAUUGAUAGAAUCCGAUGGAAACAUUGGAGUGCCAGUUUACUGGAGCUUGAAAACAGGUGCUGCACGGCUGUCGUCAGCUCGUGUCGUGAGAUGUUGGGUUAAGUCCCGCAACGAGCGCAACCCUCGUCCUUAGUUACUAACGGUUCGGCCGAGGACUCUAAGGAGACUGCCUUCGUAAGGAGGAGGAAGGUGAGGACGACGUCAAGUCAUCAUGGCCCUUACGGCUAGGGCGACACACGUGCUACAAUGGAUAGGACAAUGAGACGCAAUACCGCGAGGUGGAGCAAAUCUAUAAACCUAUUCUCAGUUCGGAUUGUAGUCUGCAACUCGACUACAUGAAGCUGGAAUCACUAGUAAUCGUAGAUCAGCCAUGCUACGGUGAAUACGUUCCCGGGUCUUGUACUCACCGCCCGUCACACCAUGGGAGUUGAUUUCACCCGAAGCGGGGAAGCUAAACUGGCUACCCUCCACGGUGGAAUCAGCGACUGGGGUGAAGUCGUAACAAGGUAACC
rnacentral:rRNA from 1 species